CAAUAGCGUAUAUUAAAGUUGUUGCGGUUAAAAAGUUCGUAGUUGGAUUUCUGCCAAGGACGACCGGUCCGCCCUCUGGGUGAGUAUCUGGCUUGGCCUCGGCAUCUUCUUGGAGAACGUUGCUGCACUUCACUGUGUGGCGCGGUAUCCAGGACCUUUACUUUGAGGAAAUUAGAGUGUUUCAAGCAGGCAUCCGCCUUGAAUACAUUAGCAUGGAAUAAUAAGAUAGGACCUCGGUUCUAUUUUGUUGGUUUCUAGAGCUGGGGUAAUGAUUAAUAGGGAUAGUUGGGGGCAUUCGUAUUUAACUGUCAGAGGUGAAAUUCUUGGAUUUGUUAAAGGCGGACUACUGCGAAAGCAUUUGCCAAGGAUGUUUNCAUUGA
rnacentral:rRNA from 1 species